ensembl:lncRNA
CUGGCUUCUGAGGAGAGGCGACGUGAGCUGCUGAGCUCCAGGUUGCUGCUGUUUCCCUCCCUCAGGAUGACGUGUUCCUGCAUGUGUUGGAUGGCACCUGGCUCACAUCGUGCCGUGGUGUGGCACUCUGGGACACCUAGGAAGGUUUGCUGCGUGAUGGAGUCCAUGCUGUCUCCAUCCUCCCUUCAGUCUCCAAAUGCCUGGCUUACCAAGGAGGCCUCUUGUCUCAUGUUCAUGGAAGAGAACAGGAAGGUGACUGUGGCUGUGCUGCAUGUUGGAAAGUGAGGACAUGCUCAGGAAGCAUGGAACAAUGUCUAGCCAGAGAACUUAGUCUGAUGAAGCAAGUUUUCAUCUAAGCCUGCUUGUCUGGUGACAAGUCCCAUUUCAGCGUACUUACAGAUGAGCUUAUUAUGAGAAGAAGCCGCAUACAGACAGGAUUCUGCUACCUGUGGCAGAAAAAAGGUUUGAUCUGCGCAGGACCUCUCCAGACCCCUUCACCCUCACUUGGGAGGAAAAAUCGAACAGCAAGAAGGACAUGCUCAGAGGAGUUGGAUUACAGCUUACACGUGUAUUCGAACCCAGAGUUACACAACUGCAUGAAGAGCUGUGUGCAGAAAUGCUUUCUGAUUUCUGCUUACAACAGCCUAGGAACUGGAUUUAGAAAAAUGAACCGACUCUUCAGCCAGACCCGUCAUGAAUUGCAAAAGCAGCUGGGAGAUUUGGCCUGAGAAUCAGGUUGCUUUUUCUUUUUUCUUCGUCAGAGUUUGUAAGAGAUUUGGAGGGACAUAACAUUUAUUUCCUACUUCCCUGAGCUUCAGUCCAGGCCUUGGAAAAACCCAUCUGACAGUGAGUUUGUUUGUAUAUUUCAAAUUUUUUCCUAAGUAUGCUGGGCUCAUUAGCAAGCCUUGGAAAAUGCACGCUUUGUUGAAGUUAAUAUGGGAAAUAAGAUACUGAGGGCUCAAAUCUGUCUCCAGAAUAUAAAUAAGCAUACCUUCCUUUGGACCAGGUUUUGACCAGAGUCAUACUGGAACCCUUGUUUCUGGGAGAGUUACGAAUGUGCUUUGCUAGGAAAUGCUGUUCCUUAAUGAGCUCGUGAAGCCUACAAGGUCUACAUGCAGAAUGACUGCAGUGCAUGGCACCAUGUGGCCUGAGCAGGACCUCACUUGUGUUGGCAAGAGAUGCUGCUGGCACGUUCUUUGCCAUGGAAGCUACUGGAACACUUGUCUGCAACAUGUCAUGAGGACAUGGCAGUGACAGCUCAACACUGAUCAGGCUUCUUCAACCAAUAUGCAAACCAUUUAAAUAGUAGAGGAGCCCAAUCAAAAGGUGUUGCUCAAAAUUGUGCUUCAAAGGCUUAACCAAAAAAAUAAUCCAUGACAUUGCAUGAAGCAGUCAUAUUUACCUGUGCAUCUCCAUUUCUAUGAUAAUUUUGUAAUUCAAAGAUUGGAUUUGAGACUUUCAUAUGUGUUGAAUGUCUGUGUAAGCUCUGCUUACCCAGUUGGCACAAAGUGGUUGUUUCCUUGUGGAUCAGAAUUUAUACUUCUCAUUAAGCCAAAGUCAUUUCUAUUCACCAUUGUCACACUAAGUUGUGUCCUUUGGCAAUCCCCUAAUUCCAAAAGCCCAGUUGUUAAGUAAGCUUUGAUUAAAGGGGUCUCUUUUCAAGCCAAGUUUAUGGUAAUGUUAGAGAACACUAAGAGAGCAGAGCUGCACAGUACUGAAGGAUGUGGGGUGUCUCAAAUUGCCACUAGAGAAAAACACAUUCUUGAGGCAGGGUGUAGAGCUUUUCAUUUGAAACAUGCUCUGGUGCUCAAGUCCCCUCAAUCAAUGAUGUACUUGGCUCUUCAGCUACUAACUGGAGGAGUACGUGCAUGACUCUGAGCGUGGCACCAGGAGACACCUUCCUGCUCUGAUUGCUGAAGUAUUUCAGGCUGCAGUAUCAUGUGGCAAACUGCAAAAUCCUUUUCACUGUCCACUGAUCCGGCUGCAAGUAUUCUUUAUUAUAUUUUGCCUGUGAUAGAAGACACAUUUUCAUAUUUCCAGAAUGAUUAUUUUUGUAGGGUUCAACAGCUUUCCCCACUGCUCUUUAUCCAGAAUCACACUUUGCAGCAUCAUUUAGUUGUGGUGAAGAUAACAACAUUAUAUGCUGUGAAUGGACAGCUAGAUGAAUGCUACCCCACUUAGGUAAACUGCUUCUGUGCAUGCGCAAUUGUAAAUGGUAGAAAAGAAUGCCUUUCUGUAUUUUUUAUAACUCUACUUUUUGCAGCAACACUGCAUUUAGCUCACCACAACUAAAUGCACAGUUAGUAGAAGGAAUGUUCUGCCUAAGUAUCUGUUCGAACGUUUUGGGAACCCUCGGUGUAUUUGAUUAAACCUUUCUGUAGCCAGCAAAGCUCCUUGUGAAUGCAUAUGCAGCAAAGCAUUUGUACUCGUAUGCAGUGCUGCAGCUUAACUUGGUUAAUCCUAAGCCAACACUUCAGUAAUAAGCAAAUUUCUGAGUUAACUGUCAGUUCAGUCUUUAGCUAUCUAUUGAUGGUGUAUACCAGAGAUCGGUGCUUCCCUGAGGCACUGGUGUUUUGAUUUUCAUCUACCUGUAUGAGAUGAUGAAGUGUCACUCUUUGCAUUUCUUUUUUCUUAAUUGGGGAAUUUGCACUCAGGAAAAUUACACAACUCUCCAAAAAGGAGCAGGUGUUCAUAGCUGUUGGAAGAGGUCUAUGUCCUCCAUCACAGACCUGGCUUCUUCCUCAACUCAUUUGCUCCAGGAGGGUUUUAAAACUAUUUUUUGUAAGAGGAAAUAUACUGUCUUGUACUGAAAAUAGGCAGAACUAAUUUAUUCUAACUUGGUAUUUGUAGCUUGGAACUGUAGUCGGAGAGUCAGGUAACGUGGAGGGGUGGACUGGGACCUCUCCUUUAUGAUUAAUUAUUGCUGUUCCUUCAACAAAAGUCAUGAAAAAGUCCCUCCCAUAAUUACCUUAUAACGAAUGUCUCAUUCCUUUGCAGAAACCGGUAAGCAGUAAUUAUUUCUUAAAUUGUCUGAUUGCUUCUCUGACCCCUAGAAAUGGAUGCAGUAUCAUCAGGAUCACUAGCAGACAUGGAAGGCAGCGCUGUUUGCACAGGAGUGGAACAUUCCUGGUACUGGGGCCAUGGCCACGCUCUGCAGCAGAGAGAGGACACUGCAGGGUGACUCUACAGACAGGAAUAGGAGAGACAAUGGUCAUGGUGUGACACCCUGUGUAGUAUGUGGUACUGGGCACAUAAAGCUGAGGCACAUGAGAAAUCAUAUUGCAGGCACUGCCUUGAGCAACAGAGGUGAUGCUGAAUGUGCCAAAGAGAGCAGAUGUGCACAGACCUAUGGAGACGUGCAUAGGAUACCUAUGCAGAGUAUCCUGCUACAUGUAGAGGCACUGAAACUUCAUAGAAUUAUAGAAUGGCUUGGAUUGGAAAGGACCUUAAAGCCCACACAGUCCCAUCCCUGGCUAUGGGCUGGUUGCUCCCCAACAGCUCAGGCUGCCUGGGGCUCCAUCCAACCUGGCCCCUGUUGAUGCACCCCGGGACACAGUUGGCCUUCUGGGCUGCAACUGCACACUGCUGGCUCAUGUCAAGCUUUUGGUCCGCCAGGACCCCCAUGUCCUCGUCCACAGGGCUGCUCUCAAGGAGUUCUUCUCUCAGUCUGUACACAUAUCUGGGAUUGCACUGACCCAAGCGCGACAGCAUGCACUUGGCCUUGUUGAACCUUGUAGGUUCACACGGGCUCACUUCUCAGGCAUUUCCAGGUUCCUCUGGAUGACGUCCCUUCCUCUGUUGCACCACUGAAACACUCAGCUUGGUGUCGUCUGCACAUAGCGCGGGCUGCAGCCUGAACAAGAUCAGCUCAGGUGAGUGUUUCAGCGCACAGCCAAUCCCACUGUGUCAGGUCCACUUGGGGGAACAGCACUGACGUUCCCCUUCAUUCCUUGUGUCAUCGGGGUCUUCCAAAGGCUUCUCCCAGGAAAGCCUUUAAGUGAAUUUUCUGCUGCUGCUCAUUAAUGUUGUGUUAGUUUUAAUUUCUUCCUUGUCUUGUAUCACUAAUCAAGAAGUAAUUGAAUUAGCUGAAAAGAAGGAUAAGAUAAAUUAGCUAAGAAGAAUUAACUGUGUGCACCUGAGGUCAGCAGGCUCCUAGAAAAUUCAAGUGGGGCUGAACUGAUUGUACUAACGGCAUAGAAGGAGGCCCCGUUCGAUAACCUUAUCGCUGAUGCUCUCUUUUCACCAAACCUCAGCUGUAGCCGUAUUAAGUAAAACCACAGAAAAUGGUAUGGUAACCUCACCAUCUGCUGUGCAGCUUAGUUUGCGUUCUGCAGUUGGAGCUGAAAAUACGUUACUUGAAAUUGUGAGUUAAGUCGCUGAAAUGAGAUGGGACCCCUGCGGCCUAAUCCAUAGGAACCAGCCCAUUCUUUUGAGUUUCCCGUGUUUGAUUAGUUGUACUGUAAUUAAAGAAAUUACCAAUAGACCUCUGUCUGGAUGUGAUUAACUCACCAAGUGCUCAUACCUAUAUUCUUUAAGCAUCUCCAAAUAAUUUAGGGCCUCAUUUAUGUUCCUUAAUAAAGAAAUAAAUGAAAAUCGUCUACAGCCUUAAUACCGUGGCUUGUGUUACAAGCUGUUCUAUCUUGUGCCUCGGUGAUGCCUGUCCAAUUGUUUCUGAUUAUGCUGCAUUGUAAUUAAAGAACUAGAAUGCUAUUUGCCUAAAUGAGAACAUGCUGCCCAGGAGGGAGGAAAAGAAAUCAGAUAAAUACGAGAGCCUUCUAAGCAAACCAAACUGAGGAUGUCGAUGCUGCACGUAGACAUGGAGCUGUGGAUGGGACUGCUUGAGCUGCUUGGUGCCUGCUGAGUGCCAGCUUCCACCACAGCCUGCUCCCCGCCGGGGUAACCCAACAGCAGUGGCACAACACGUUGUGUGAAAAGUAAUCUGAUUUUCUCCAGGACGGGGCAGAGCAGGGCUCAUGGAAGGGGGGAAAUGAAGAAGGGCUGAUGGGAUAUUUUUGUUUUGUCUGUCAG